AAGGGAACAAAAACCCCCCACAACCAACCAACCAAACAGCUGUCCCAGUGCUGGUGCAGACACUGGCAAAAUAACUGAGAUUGUUCCAUAAGAACAGAAACUGUAAAAGUCUUCUCUCCAAGAAAGACUGGAAACCAAGAAGCCCUGUAGGGACUGAAGUGAUACUGUAUUCUCGAGCUGCUUUUCUGAAGCAGUAGCUGAAUACAAUCAAGUAAUGGAGUGGCUUUCUGCACUUUAACUGCUAGAUGAAUCUAGGUAGGCUCAAAUGCAUGUCAGGAAGCCUGACUGUUGCAGCACUGCCUCUUACCUUAACCUGCACCAGGGAUCAGGAAAAAUGUCUCAAGUCCUGAGAUGCAGCCCUUU